rnacentral:tRNA from 1 species
CACUAUGAAGCUAAAUAGCAUUAACCUUUUAAGUUAAAGACUGAGGAUUUGAUUCUCCAUAGUGA